GUCUCUGUGGCGCAAUUGGUUAGUGUGUUCGACUGAUAUUCGAAAGGUUGGUGGUUCAAGCCCACCCAGGGACG